AUCCAGCUGACGAGUCGCAAAAUUGGACAAAACGCGCGUCAAACUGGAU
rnacentral:hammerhead_ribozyme from 1 species